rnacentral:tRNA from 1 species
GCCUGGUGGGCUCAGUCAGUAGAGCAUGUGACUCUUGACCUCAGGGUUGUGAGUUCAAGCCCCAAACUGGGCA